rnacentral:rRNA from 1 species
AGUGAACGCUGGCGGUAGGCCUAACACAUGCAAGUCGAACGGCAGCACAGGAGAGCUUGCUCUCUGGGUGGCGAGUGGCGGACGGGUGAGGAAUACAUCGGAAUCUACUCUGUCGUGGGGGAUAACGUAGGGAAACUUACGCUAAUACCGCAUACGACCUACGGGUGAAAGCAGGGGACCUUCGGGCCUCGCGCGAUUGAAUGAGCCGAUGUCGGAUUAGCUAGUUGGCGGGGUAAAGGCCCACCAAGGCGACGAUCCGUAGCUGGUCUGAGAGGAUGAUCAGCCACACUGGAACUGAGACACGGUCCAGACUCCUACGGGAGGCAGCAGUGGGGAAUAUUGGACAAUGGGCGCAAGCCUGAUCCAGCCAUACCGCGUGGGUGAAGAAGGCCUUCGGAUUGUAAAGCCCUUUUGUUGGGAAAGAAAUCCAGCUGGCUAAUACCCGGUUGGGAUGACGGUACCCAAAGAAUAAGCACCGGCUAACUUCGUGCCAGCAGCCGCGGUAA